rnacentral:rRNA from 1 species
UGGGGAAUAUUGCACAAUGGAGGGAACUCUGAUGCAGCGACGCCGCGUGAGUGAUGAAGGAAUUCGUUUCGUAAAACUCUGUUCUAUGGGAAGAAAAGGACUGUACCAUAGUAGAAAGCUCCGGCUAAAUACGUGCCAGCAGCCGCGGUAAUACGUAUGGAGCGAGCGUUGUCCGGAAUUAUUGGGCGUAAAGGGUGCGCAGGCGGCUUUACAAGUUGGAUGUGAAAUAUUGUGGCUCAACCACAAACGUGCAUCCAAAACUGCAAAGCUUGAGUUAAGGAGAGGUAAGUGGAAUUCCUGGUGUAGCGGUGGAAUGCGUAGAUAUCAGGAGGAAUACCGGUGGCGAAGGCGACUUACUGGACUUAAACUGACGCUCAGGCACGAAAGCGUGGGGAGCAAACAGG